rnacentral:rRNA from 1 species
UACAGAGGGGGCAAGCGUUGUUCGGAAUUACUGGGCGUAAAGGGCGCGUAGGCGGCCUGUUAAGUCGAACGUGAAAUCCCCGGGCUCAACCCGGGAACUGCGUCCGAUACUGGCAGGCUUGAAUCCGGGAGAGGGAUGCGGAAUUCCAGGUGUAGCGGUGGAAAUGCGUAGAUAUCUGGAGGAACACCGGUGGCGAAGGCGGCUCUCUGGGCCUUACCUGACGCUGAGGAGCGAAAGCGUGGGUAGCGA